rnacentral:rRNA from 1 species
GAAUGCUUUACACAUGCAAGUCGAGCGGCAGCGCGGGGCAACCUGGCGGCGAGCGGCGAACGGGUGAGUAACACAUCGGAACGUACCCUGUCGUGGGGGAUAACGAAUCGAAAGAUUCGCUAAUACCGCAUACGACCUGAGGGUGAAAGCGGGGGAUCGCAAGACCUCGCGCGAUAGGAGCGGCCGAUGUCGGAUUAGCUAGUUGGUGGGGUAAAGGCUCACCAAGGCGACGAUCCGUAGCUGGUCUGAGAGGAUGAUCAGCCACACUGGGACUGAGACACGGCCCAGACUCCUACGGGAGGCAGCAGUGGGGAAUUUUGGACAAUGGGGGCAACCCUGAUCCAGCCAUUCCGCGUGAGUGAAGAAGGCCUUCGGGUUGUAAAGCUCUUUCGGCAGGAACGAAACGGUGAGGGCUAAUACCUCUUAUCAAUGACGGUACCUGAAGAAGAAGCACCGGCUAACUACGUGCCAGCAGCCGCGGUAAUACGUAGGGUGCGAGCGUUAAUCGGAAUUACUGGGCGUAAAGCGUGCGCAGGCGGUUUUGUAAGACAGAUGUGAAAUCCCGGGCCUAACCUGGGAACUGCGUUUGUGACUGCAAGACUAAAGUGCGGCAGAGGGGGGGUGGAAUUCCCCGUGUAGCANUGAAUUGC